AUUGAACGCUGGCGGCAUGCCUUACACAUGCAAGUCGAACGGCAGCACGGAGCUUGCUCUGGUGGCGAGUGGCGAACGGGUGAGUAAUAUAUCGGAACGUACCCAAGAGUGGGGGAUAACGUAGCGAAAGUUACGCUAAUACCGCAUACGAUCUAAGGUUGAAAGCAGGGGAUCGCAAGACCUUGUGCUCCUGGAGCGGCCGAUAUCUGAUUAGCUAGUUGGUGAGGUAAAGGCUCACCAAGGCAUCGAUCAGUAGCUGGUCUGAGAGGACGACCAGCCACACUGGAACUGAGACACGGUCCAGACUCCUACGGGAGGCAGCAGUGGGGAAUUUUGGACAAUGGGGGCAACCCUGAUCCAGCAAUGCCGCGUGAGUGAAGAAGGCCUUCGGGUUGUAAAGCUCUUUUGUCAGGGAAGAAACGGUGAAGGCUAAUAUCCUUUGCUAAUGACGGUACCUGAAGAAUAAGCACCGGCUAACUACGUGCCAGCAGCCGCAGUAA
rnacentral:rRNA from 1 species